rnacentral:rRNA from 1 species
GAUCCUGGCUCAGGAUGAACGCUGGCGGCGUGCCUAAUACAUGCAAGUGAAACGGGUAUCUUCGGAUACCAGUCGCGGACGGGUGAGUAAUACAUAGGCAACCUGCCUUUAUGAGGGGGAUAACCGAGGGAAACUUUGGCUAAUACCGCAUGAAGACUCUAAGGCAUCUUAGAGGGAUAAAAAGUUGGGAAACAACGCAUGAAGAUGGGCUUAUGGCGCAUUAGCUAGUUGGUGAGAUAGAAGCCCACCAAGGUAAUGAUGCGUAGCCGACCUGAGAGGGUGAACGGCCACAUUGGGACUGAGACACGGCCCAAACUCCUACGGGAGGCAGCAGUAGGGAAUUUUCGGCAAUGGGGGGAACCCUGACCGAGCAACGCCGCGUGAAAGGAAGAAGGUUUUCGGAUUGUAAACUUCUGUUAUAAGGGAAGAACGGAUUGGAUAGGGAAUGAUCUGAUAGUGACGGUACCUUAUUAGAAAGCCACGGCUAACUACGUGCCAGCAGCCGC